GCUGGCGGCAGGCUUACACAUGCAAGUCGAGCGGUAGCACAGGGGAGCUUGCUCCCUGGGUGACGAGCGGCGGACGGGUGAGUAAUGUCUGGGAAACUGCCUGAUGGAUGGGGAUAACUACUGGAAACGGUAGCUAAUACCGCAUAACGUCGCAAGACCAAAGAGGGGGACCUUCGGGCCUCUUGCCAUCAGAUGUGCCCAGAUGGGAUUAGCUAGUAGGUGGGGUAAUGGCUCACCUAGGCGACGAUCCCUAGCUGGUCUGAGAGGAUGACCAGCCACACUGGAACUGAGACACGGUCCAGACUCCUACGGGAGGCAGCAGUGGGGAAUAUUGCACAAUGGGCGCAAGCCUGAUGCAGCCAUGCCGCGUGUGUGAAGAAGGCCUUCGGGUUGUAAAGCACUUUCAGCGAGGAGGAAGGUGGUGAGCUUAAUACGCUCAUCAAUUGACGUUACUCGCAGAAGAAGCACCGGCUAACUCCGUGCCAGCAGCCGCGGUAAUACGGAGGGUGCAAGCGUUAAUCGGAAUUACUGGGCGUAAAGCGCACGCAGGCGGUCUGUCAAGUCGGAUGUGAAAUCCCCGGGCUCAACCUGGGAACUGCAUUCGAAACUGGCAGGCUAGAGUCUUGUAGAGGGGGGUAGAAUUCCAGGUGUAGCGAUGAAAUGCGUAGAGAUCUGGAGGAAUACCGGUGGCGAAGGCGGCCCCCUGGACAAAGACUGACGCUCAGGUGCGAAAGCGUGGGGAGCAAACAGGAUUAGAUACCCUGGUAGUCCACGCCGUAAACGAUGUCGAUUUGGAGGUUGUGCCCUUGAAGCGUGGCUUCCGGAGCUAACGCGUUAAAUCGACCGCCUGGGGAAGUACCGCCGCAAGGUUAAAACUCAAAUGAAUUGACGGGGGCCCGCACAAGCGGUGGAGCAUGUGGUUUAAUUCGAUGCAACGCGAAGAACCUUACCUACUCUUGACAUCCAGAGAACUUAGCAGAGAUGCUUUGGUGCCUUCGGGAACUCUGAGACAGGUGCUGCAUGGCUGUCGUCAGCUCGUGUUGUGAAAUGUUGGGUUAAGUCCCGCAACGAGCGCAACCCUUAUCCUUUGUUGCCAGCGGUUAGGCCGGGAACCCAAAGGAGGCUGCCAGUGAUAAACUGGAGGAAGGUGGGGAUGGCGUCAAGUCAUCAUGGCCCUUACGAGU
rnacentral:rRNA from 1 species